rfam:Ailuropoda melanoleuca scaffold705_66, whole genome shotgun sequence.
ACCUGGCUGGCUCAGUCAGUGGAGUGUGUGACUCUUGAUCUCGAGGUUGUAGGUUUGAGUCCCACGUUGGGUG